rnacentral:rRNA from 1 species
GGGGACGAACGCUGGCGGCGUGCUUAACACAUGCAAGUCGAGCGGUAAGGCCUUUCGGGGUACACGAGCGGCGAACGGGUGAGUAACACGUGGGUGAUCUGCCCUGCACUUCGGGAUAAGCCUGGGAAACUGGGUCUAAUACCGGAUAUGACCUCCUAUCGCAUGGUGGGUGGUGGAAAGAUUUAUCGGUGCAGGAUGGGCCCGCGGCCUAUCAGCUUGUUGGUGGGGUAAUGGCCUACCAAGGCGACGACGGGUAGCCGACCUGAGAGGGUGACCGGCCACA